rnacentral:tRNA from 1 species
GCGGGCAUAGCUCAGUUGGUAGAGCGCAACCUUGCCAAGGUUGAGGUCGCGAGUUCGAACCUGGUUGCCCGCUCCA